GCAUAUCAAUAAGCGGAGGAAAAGAAACCAACAGGGAUUGCCCCAGUAACGGCGAGUGAAGCGGCAACAGCUCAAAUUUGAAAUCUGGCCCCCGGGUCCGAGUUGUAAUUUGCAGAGGAUGCUUCGGGCGAGGUGCCUUCCGAGUUCCCUGGAACGGGACGCCACAGAGGGUGAGAGCCCCGUCUGGUCGGACACCGAGCCCGUGUGAAGCUCCUUCGAAGAGUCGAGUAGUUUGGGAAUGCUGCUCAAAAUGGGAGGUAUAUGUCUUCUAAAGCUAAAUAUUGGCCAGAGACCGAUAGCGCACAAGUAGAGUGAUCGAAAGAUGAAAAGCACUUUGAAAAGAGGGUUAAAAAGUACGUGAAAUUGUUGAAAGGGAAGCGCCCAUGACCAGACUUGGGCCCGGUGAAUCACCCGGCGUUCUCGCCGGUGCACUUUGCCGGGCACAGGCCAGCAUCAGUUUGGCGCGGGGGACAAAGGCUUCGGGAACGUGGCUCCCUCGGGAGUGUUAUAGCCCGCUGCGUAAUACCCUGCGCCGGACUGAGGUACGCGCAUCGCAAGGAUGCUGGCGUAAUGGUCAUCAGCGACCCGUCUUGAAACACGGACCAAGGAGUCGUCUUCGUAUGCGAGUGUUCGGGUGUCAAACCCCUACGCGGAAUGAAAGUGAACGCAGGUGAGAGCUUCGGCGCAUCAUCGACCGAUCCUGAUGUUCUCGGAUGGAUUUGAGUAAGAGCAUACGGGGCCGGACCCGAAAGAAGGUGAACUAUGCCUGUAUAGGGUGAAGCCAGAGGAAACUCUGGUGGAAGCUCGCAGCGGUUCUGACGUGCGAAUCGAUCGUCAAAUAUGGGCAUGGGGGCGAAAGACUAAUCGAACCUUCUAGUAGCUGGUUUCCGCG
rnacentral:rRNA from 1 species